rnacentral:rRNA from 1 species
GUUGAACGCUGGCGGCGUGCCUAACACAUGCAAGUCGAGCGGAUGAAGGAGGCUUGUGCCUGGCUUCAGCGGCGGACGGGUGAGUAAUUCAUAGGAGUCUACCUGGCAGAGGGGGCUAGCGUCAGUAAGCGAGCGCUAAUACCGCAUACGUCCUGAGGGUGAAAGGGGGGGUUCUUUGGACAUCACGCGAUCUGCUGUGCCUAGGGCGGAUUAGCUAGUUGGUGAGGUAAAGGCCUACCAAGGCGACGAUCCGUAACUGGUCUGAGAGGAUGAUCGGUCACACUGGAACUGAGACACGGUCCAGACUCCUACGGGAGGCAGCAGUAGGGAAUAUUCGACAAUGGGCGAAAGCCUGAUCCAGCCACGCCGCGUGUGUGAAGAAGGUCUUCGGAUCGUAAAGCACUUUAAGUUGGGAGGAAGGGAAGUAAGAGAAUACCUUGAUGUCUUGACGGUACCAACAGAAUAAGCACCGGCUAACUUCGUG